rnacentral:rRNA from 1 species
CAGCAGCCGCGGUAAUACGUAGGUGGCAAGCGUUGUCCGGAAUUAUUGGGCGUAAAGGGCUCGCAGGCGGUUUCUUAAGUCUGAUGUGAAAGCCCCCGGCUCAACCGGGGAGGGUCAUUGGAAACUGGGAAACUUGAGUGCAGAAGAGGAGAGUGGAAUUCCACGUGUAGCGGUGAAAUGCGUAGAGAUGUGGAGGAACACCAGUGGCGAAGGCGACUCUCUGGUCUGUAACUGACGCUGAGGAGCGAAAGCGUGGGGAGCGAAUAGGAUUAGAUACCCGUGUAGUCCCUGUCUCUUAUAA